GUAGGUGAACCUGCGGAAGGAUCAUUACCGAGUUGAUUCGGGCUCCGGCCCGAUCCUCCCACCCUUUGUGUACCUACCUCUGUUGCUUUGGCGGGCCGCGGUCCUCCGCGGCCGGCCCCCCUCCCCGGGGGGUGGCCAGCGCCCGCCAGAGGACCAUCAAACUCCAGUCAGUAAACGAUGCAGUCUGAAAAACAUUUAAUAAACUAAAACUUUCAACAACGGAUCUCUUGGUUCUGGCAUCGAUGAAGAACGCAGCGAAAUGCGAUAAGUAAUGUGAAUUGCAGAAUUCAGUGAAUCAUCGAAUCUUUGAACGCACAUUGCGCCCUUUGGUAUUCCGAAGGGCAUGCCUGUUCGAGCGUCAUUACAACCCUCAAGCUCUGCUUGGUAUUGGGCACCGUCCUUUGCGGGCGCGCCUCAAAGACCUCGGCGGUGGCGUCUUGCCUCAAGCGUAGUAGAACAUACAUCUCGCUUCGGAGCGCAGGGCGUCGCCCGCCGGACGAACCUUCUGAACUUUUCUCAAGGUUGACCUCGGAUCAGGUAGGGAUACCCGCUGAACUUAAGCAUAUCAAU
rnacentral:rRNA from 1 species